AUAAACCUACGGGGGGCAGCAGUGGGGGAUAUUGGACAAUGGGGGAAACCCUGAUCCAGCGAUGCCGCGUGAGGGAAGAAGGUUUUCGGAUUGUAAACCUCUGUGGAGGGGGACGAUAAUGACGGUACCCCUUUAGGAAGCCACGGCUAACUACGUGCCAGCAGCCGCGGUAAUAUGUAGGUGGCGAGCGUUGUCCGGAAUUACUGGGUGUAAAGGGAGUGUAGGCGGGGCAGCAAGUCAGAAGUGAA
rnacentral:rRNA from 1 species